UUGAACGCUGGCGGCAGGCUUAACACAUGCAAGUCGAGCGGAAACGAAGGUAGCUUGCUACCAGGCGUCGAGCGGCGGACGGGUGAGUAAUGCUUAGGAAUCUACCGAGUAGUGGGGGAUAGCCAUUGGAAACGAUGAUUAAUACCGCAUAUAUCCUACGGGGGAAAGCAGGGGACCUUCGGGCCUUGCGCUAUUCGAUGAGCCUGAGUGAGAUUAGCUAGUUGGUGGGGUAAAGGCCUACCAAGGCGACGAUCUCUAGCUGGUCUGAGAGGAUGAUCAGCCACACUGGGACUGAGACACGGCCCAGACUCCUACGGGAGGCAGCAGUGGGGAAUAUUGCACAAUGGACGAAAGUCUGAUGCAGCCAUGCCGCGUGUGUGAAGAAGGCCUUCGGGUUGUAAAGCACUUUCAGCGAGGAGGAAAGGUCAGUAAGUAAUAUUUGCUGGCUGUGACGUUACUCGCAGAAGAAGCACCGGCUAAUUUAGUGCCAGCAGCCGCGGUAAUACUAAAGGUGCAAGCGUUAAUCGGAAUUACUGGGCGUAAAGCGCGCGUAGGUGGUUUGUUAAGUUGGGUGUGAAAGCCCAGGGCUCAACCUUGGAACUGCAUUCAAAACUGACUCACUAGAGUACGAGAGAGGUUAGUGGAAUUUCCUGUGUAGCGGUGAAAUGCGUAGAGAUGGGAAGGAACACCAGUGGCGAAGCGACUGACUGGCUCGAUACUGACACUG
rnacentral:rRNA from 1 species